rnacentral:ncRNA from 1 species
UCAAAGUUUGACUUUAGCUUAUUAAAUUUGCCUUUUUUUAAUUGUACAUGUAUAUUUUUGUGUGUUAGGGUGUAUCUAAAUGGUAAUUUUUCUAUUCGCAGUUCUUUAUUUUAUUAAUUAUAUAAGUAUUGAUUUAGUUAAUUUUAAGAGCUCUGACCAAUAUUGUGCCAGCAGUCGCGGUUAUACAAUAAGGGCGAGUAAAUUUUUUUUGGUUUGUAUUUAGUUUUGUUGCUUCUGCUUAAUUAUUUAAUUAUUGGGGUGAAAUCGAUAUUUUUUGUUAGGUGGUUUUUAUGAUUAAAUAUGAAAGUUCAAAAUGAAACUGGGAUUAGAGACCCCAUUAUUAUGAAUAGUAAACUUGUAAUCUUAGUAUUAAUAGUUAGGAUCUUUAAAUUAAAAGAAUUUGGCGGUAAUUUAGUCUGUUCAGAGGAAYCUGCCCUGUAAUCGAUAAUCCACGAUGAAUWUCACUUUAUUUGGGCUUGUAUAUCGCUGUCAUUGAAUGUCUUAUUAGAGAAUUUUCGUUAAUCAUUAACAUGGAAAAUGUCAGGUCAAGGUGCAGCUAUGAUAAAGAAGAGGUGGGUUACAUUAAAUUUAUUUUUGGAUAAGUUUAUGUAAAUGGCUUUGAAAUUGGAUUUGAAAGUAAUUUUUAUUAGAAUGUAAGGUUGAUUUAGCUCUAAAUUAUGCACAUAUCGCCCGUCACUCUCGUUACUUAAAAUGAGAUAAGUCGUAACAAAGUAGGUUUACUGGAAAGUGAUCCUGGUCAUAU